rnacentral:rRNA from 1 species
CCCCAGCGCCACAAGUGGGAACCACUUUUAUUGGGUCUAAAGCAUCCGUAGCCGGUUCGGCAAAUGCCUUGUGAAAUCGUAGCGCUCAACGUUACGACGGGCAAGGUAGACUACCAAACUAGGGACCAGAAGAUGUUAGCAGUAUUCCUGGGGGAACGGUAAAAUGUUAUAAUCCCAGGAGGACUACCGAUGGCGAAGGCAGCUAACAAGUAUGGAUCCGACGGUGAGGGAUGAAAGCUAGGGGAGCGAUCCG